GGAUAACUCCGGGAAACCGGGGCUAAUACCGGAUGGUUGUCUGAACCGCAUGGUUCACACAUAAAAGGUGGCUUCGGCUACCACUUACAGAUGGACCCGCGGCGCAUUAGCUAGUUGGUGAGGUAACGGCUCACCAAGGCGACGAUGCGUAGCCGACCUGAGAGGGUGAUCGGCCACACUGGGACUGAGACACGGCCCAGACUCCUACGGGAGGCAGCAGUAGGGAAUCUUCCGCAAUGGACGAAAGUCUGACGGAUUUUACGCCGCGUGAGUGAUGAAGGUUUUCGGAUCGUAAAGCUCUGUUGUUAGGGAAGAACAAGUGCCGUUCAAAUAGGGCGGCACCUUGACGGUACCUAACCAGAAAGCCACGGCUAACUACGUGCCAGCAGCCGCGGUAAUACGUAGGUGGCAAGCGUUGUCCGGAAUUAUUGGGCGUAAAGGGCUCGCAGGCGGUUUCUUAAGUCUGAUGUGAAAGCCCCCGGCUCAACCGGGGAGGGUCAUUGGAAACUGGGGAACUUGAGUGCAGAAGAGGAGAGUGGAAUUCCACGUGUAGCGGUGAAAUGCGUAGAGAUGUGGAGGAACACCAGUGGCGAAGGCGACUCUCUGGUCUGUAACUGACGCUGAGGAGCGAAAGCGUGGGGAGCGAACAGGAUUAGAUACCCUGGUAGUCCACGCCGUAAACGAUGAGUGCUAAGUGUUAGGGGGUUUCCGCCCCUUAGUGCUGCAGCUAACG
rnacentral:rRNA from 1 species